rnacentral:lncRNA from 1 species
UUUCGGUACUCACACUGAUUCGACCCUUUUCCAGUACGCGCCCGGACAAUUUUUCAAUACUCGGACGGAUUCUACCUUUUCCGGGUACUCGCCCAGAUUCUACUAUUUUUCGGUACUCACACUGAUUCUACCCUUUUUCGGUGCUCAACGGGACAGUUUUUCGAUACUCGCACGGAUUCUACCUUUUCCCGGUACUCGCCCGGAUUCUACCAUUUUUCGGUACUCACACUGAUUCGACCCUUUUCCAGUACGCGCCCGGACAGUGUUUCAUUACUCGCACGGAUUCUACCUUUUCCGGGUACUUGCCCAGAAUCUACUAUUUUUCGGUGCUCACAGUGAUUCUACCCAUUUUCGGUGCUCAACGGGACAGUUUUUCGAUACUCGCACGGAUUCUACCUUUUCCCGGUACUCGCCCGGAUUCUACCAUUUUUCGGUGCUCACACUGAUUCGACCCUUUACCGGUACGUGCCCGGACAGUUUUUCAAUACUCGGACGGAUUCUACCUUUUCCUGGUACUCGCCCAGAUUCUACUAUUUUUCGGUACUCACAGUGAUUCUACCCUUUUUUGGGUGCUCAACAGGAGAGUUUUUCGAUACUCGCACGGAUUCUACCUUUUCCGGCUACUUGCCCAGAAUCUACUAUUUUUCGGUGCUCACAGUGAUUCUACCCAUUUUCGGUGCUCAACGGGACUGUUUUUCGAUACUCGCACGGAUUCUACCUUUUCCCGGUACUCGCCCGGAUUCUACCAUUUUUCGGUACUCACACUGAUUCGACCCUUUUCCAGUACGCGCCCGGACAGUGUUUCAUUACUCGAACGGAUUCUACCUUUUCCGGGUACUCGCUCAGAAUCUACUAUUUUUCGGUGCUCACAGUGAUUCUACCCAUUUUCGGUGCUCAACGGGACAGUUUUUCGAUACUCGCACGGAUUCUACCUUUUCCCGGUACUCGCCCGGAUUCUACCAUUUUUCGGUACUCACACUGAUUCGACCCUUUUCCAGUACGCGCCCGGACAGUGUUUCAUUACUCGAACGGAUUCUACCUUUUCCGGGUACUCGCUCAGAAUCUAAUAUUUUUCGGUGCUCACAGUGAUUCUACCCAUUUUCGGUGCUCAACGGGACUGUUUUUUGAUACUCGCACGGAUUCUACCUUUUCCCGGUACUCGCCCCGAAUUCUACCAUUUUUCGGUACUCACACGGAUUCGACCCUUUUCCGGUACGUGCCCGGACAGUUUUUCAAUACUCGGACGGAUUCUACCUUUUCUUGGUACUCGCCCAGAAUCUACUAUUUUUCGGUGCUCACAGUGAUUCUACCCUUUUUCGGUG